AGAAGAGACGGGAGAGGAGGAGGAAGAAAUGGGAGGAGGAGAAGAAGAUCAACAGAAAUUGAAGAACACAGCAGCAGCAGCGUAUGACUACGAGAAUGAUCCGAGAUGGGCAGAUUAUUGGUCCAAUAUACUCAUUCCUCCUCACAUGGCUUCUCGUUCUGAUGUCGUCGACCAUUUCAAGCGCAAGUUUUAUCAACGAUACAUAGACCCUGGUCUAGUGGUUGAGCCAAUGGCUACCAGCAGUUCGUCCCAACCAGCAAAACCAUCAGUUGCUCAACCAUCAUCAUCAUCGUCCACACCUUCUAAUAACCAGCCAAGACAGCGUAACUCUGGUCAAGCUAGUAGAACUUCAGGCACGCCAACUACUCCAACUUCAAAUCCGACAUCACUUCGCUGGGACCGAAAUACUAUACAAUUUUCAGUGAAUGCUUGGGUUUUUGUUGUUGCAGUUCUCUCAAUAUUUCCGCUUACACCUGCAAAUCUGUCGAACAGAGCAUAUCGACUGUCCUUCUUGGGAACUGCAUGUUCUUCGCUAUAUUCAUUAUACUCUGUAUAUGGGAAACCGAGGGCUUGGAAUUUACAAGCAGUGCAAGUUUGGUUCCAGUCAGUUAUUGUGACGAAGGAUUUCAUCUCCUUCAUUUACUGUCUCACAUUUGUCACUUCCCAUCUUUACCUGAAAUUUUCUUUGAUUCCUGUUUUAUGCCGAUCACUUGAACAUGUUGGUAAAUUUCUUCGACGUAACUUCGGCAGAUCUUCUUUGUACAGGAAGUACUUAGAAGAGGCUUGCGUAUGGGUCGAGUCAAACGUUACUACUCUCAACAUACUAUCUUCACAGGCUGAAAUUGGACUGGGAUUUCUUCUGGUUGUCUCUCUAUUAUCGUGGCAGCGUAAUAUUAUACAAACAUUCAUGUAUUGGCAGAUAUUGAAGCUUAUGUAUCAUGCUCCUGCUACUGCUGGUUACCAUCAGAAUGUGUGGGCUAAGAUCGGAGGGCUUGUAAAUCCAGUUGUUCAACGUGCCCCGUUCUUGAAUACUCCUAUUUCAACUAUUCAGAGAUGGUGGUUCAGGUAGGAGACUUGCUGAAAGAUAUACAAGAGUUUUAGGGGCAUGAAAUACUUUUUUGGGAUUAUACUUUGUCCUGAAGGGUGACUAUAAAACUAGAAUUGUCUAGUUAAUAUUCCUAAUAAUUGCCUGUGGGAGUUACUUCCAUCCAAGUUUCCCCCUUUUUGGGAUGUGAUUUUUCCUUUGUUUAACUGCUUUAUUUUGUAAACCUAAAUUCUCCAAGAACUCUAG
rnacentral:misc_RNA from 1 species